rnacentral:rRNA from 1 species
GACGAACCGUACGAACGUUAUUCGGAAUCACUGGGCUUAAAGGGUGCGUAGGCGGCGCAGAAAGUAGGGUGUGAAAUCCCUCGGCUCAACCGAGGAACUGCGCUCUAAACUACUGUGCUCGAGGGAGAUAGAGGUGAGCGGAACUUAGGGUGGAGCGGUGAAAUGCGUUGAUAUCCUAAGGAACACCGGUGGCGAAAGCGGCUCACUGGGUCUUUUCUGACGCUGAGGGACGAAAGCUAGGGGAGCAAACGGG